UUCUUUGAAGCAAUGUUAGUCCACCUUCUUUGCCAGUAAGCCUUUGAAGAAACGGAACAAUGAUUCGGUCAUAGAGGGGAAUCCAGAUGGUGAGGGUUAUCAUUGUAAAGAUUACGUACGUUGCGGCAGGCACCUCAAAACUGGUGCCCAGGCGUCUAUCCAUCUGAAGGGCUUGGAAAACUGCAUAAGUCUGUUGCUGGAUCAAGGGAAUAUGAUAAAGUAUGGAUGUUUACCCUAUGGGAAAUAUCCUCAGCAAACACUUUCACUUCCUCGACUUGUUGGAUGCUACAAAGUUUCGAUGGGUUAGUAGCUGAACCAUCCAAAUUAAUUUGAUCUCCAUCUGUAAUGAUUGCAGUUUUGUCAAGAUACCUGCAGUGGUCGUCAUCAUUGAGUAUUAAAAGUCAAAACGAAAAA